UGGGAAUCGUAACGCAUACACAGCCCCCCAUGUUCUUCUCUCGCCGCUACUCAAAUUCCCCUUCAGUUGUGGACACUUGUUCCUUCAAGAAAACCUUCCCAGUAGCACCGUCUUCUUCGAAACGGGCCUCUUUCUCCUGGACUUGCACCUGCAAAAAGAAGGGAAACAAAUUCUGGACUUAGAAUGUGACGUAUUUUCAACCGCGUUUGAUAACAAAUGGGCACACGCGAAGGUACAUGAACUCAACGAGGAGUAUGCGAAAGCAGAAAUCUGGAUCAAGGAGAACUUGUCCAUUACCCAUGAAGAGCCCAUGUCCUGGCUGUGUUUAGGGCGUAUUCGCUAUUUGAACAAAAAAUACCAGGAGGCAUUAGAAGCUUAUGAGAAGCACAUACGCUACCAAGGAAACAAACAAGUGUACAUGUAUGUUCACCUCGACAUAGGCAACUGCCACCUCCAGCUUGGGAACUACAAUGCGGCCAAGAAGGUGUUUCUCAAGCUCUGUCAAGUAGAACCAACCACAAGCUCCUGGCUCGGUGCCGCUAUCGCAUUCUACAGAACGUGUGAACAUAAGCAUAGCGAGCAAGCAUUGGUGGAAGCAAAUCACAUGGAUAGCAAGAAUCAAAGGGUGUGGGCAUACCUGGCCUUGGUCUGUCUCGCCCUAGACCGAAACGAAGAAGCAGAGAUCUCGUUCCAGCAAUUGCAGAAACUCGAACUGCAUGAUGUUCACUUGCUACUCGAAGUCGCUGAUGGGUUUGCCAAGUGUGGAAACUACCGGUAACAUUCCUAACCAAACCUUCAAUCCGAAAUCUCUCAUUCACAAUAAAACCUCUAAUGACAGAGAUUAAGCACCGAUCUCAAAUGAUUUAGACUUUCGUGAACAGUAAUUGUGCGGCUGUAUGUUGGAAUGGAAACGC
rnacentral:lncRNA from 1 species